UACGGUCAAAUCACGCUGAAACACCGGUUCUCGUACGAUCACCGAAGUUAAGCAGCGUAGAGCCAGGUCAGUACUUAGAUGGGGGACUACUUGGGAACACCUGGUACUGUAAG
rnacentral:rRNA from 1 species